CGACCUGUUGCGGGGAGAUGAAGUGGAUAUGCACGUCGAGCCCGCCGGCGGUCACGAUGCGGCCCUCGCCGGCGAUCGCUUCCGUGCCCGGGCCGAUGACGAUAUCGACAUCGGGCUGCACGUCCGGAUUGCCGGCCUUGCCGAUCGCCGCGAUCUUGCCGUCCUUGAGGCCGAUAUCCGCCUUGAUGAUUCCCCAAUAGUCGAGGAUCAUCGCGUUGGUGAUAACCGUGUCCACGGCGCCUUCGCUGCGGCUGCGCUGCGACUGGCCCAUGCCGUCGCG
rnacentral:sRNA from 1 species